GAUGAACGCUGGCGGCGUGCUUAACACAUGCAAGUCGAACGGUGAACACGGAGCUUGCUCUGUGGGAUCAGUGGCGAACGGGUGAGUAACACGUGAGCAACCUGCCCCUGACUCUGGGAUAAGCGCUGGAAACGGCGUCUAAUACUGGAUAUGUGACGUGACCGCAUGGUCUGCGUUUGGAAAGAUUUUUCGGUUGGGGAUGGGCUCGCGGCCUAUCAGCUUGUUGGUGAGGUAAUGGCUCACCAAGGCGUCGACGGGUAGCCGGCCUGAGAGGGUGACCGGCCACACUGGGAUUGAGACACGGCCCAGACUCCUACGGGAGGCAGCAGUGGGGAAUAUUGCACAAUGGGCGAAAGCCUGAUGCAGCAACGCCGCGUGGGGGAUGACGGCCUUCGGGUUGUAAACCUUUUUUAGCAGGGAAGAAGCGAAAGUGACGGUACCUGCAGAAAAAGCGCCGGCUAACUACGUG
rnacentral:rRNA from 1 species